UAGGGAAUCUUCCGCAAUGGGCGAAAGCCUGACGGAGCAACGCCGCGUGAGUGAUGAAGGUCUUCGGAUCGUAAAACUCUGUUAUUAGGGAAGAACAAAUGUGUAAGUAACUAUGCACGUCUUGACGGUACCUAAUCAGAAAGCCACGGCUAACUACGUGCCAGCAGCCGCGGUAAUACGUAGGUGGCAAGCGUUAUCCGGAAUUAUUGGGCGUAAAGCGCGCGUAGGCGGUUUUUUAAGUCUGAUGUGAAAGCCCACGGCUCAACCGUGGAGGGUCAUUGGAAACUGGAAAACUUGAGUGCAGAAGAGGAAAGUGGAAUUCCAUGUGUAGCGGUGAAAUGCGCAGAGAUAUGGAGGAACACCAGUGGCGAAGGCGACUUUCUGGUCUGUAACUGACGCUGAUGUGCGAAAGCGUGGGGAUCAAACAGGAUUAGAUACCCUGGUAGUCCACGCCGUAACGAUGAGUGCUAAGUGUUAGGGGGUUUCCGCCCCUUAGUGCUGCAGCUAACGCAUUAAGCACUCCGCCUGGGGAGUACGACCGCAAGGUUG
rnacentral:rRNA from 1 species